rnacentral:rRNA from 1 species
AUUGAACGCUGGCGGCAGGCCUAACACAUGCAAGUCGAACGAGUGGCGGACGGGUGAGUAAUGUCUGGGAAACUGCCUGAUGGCGGGGGAUAACUACUGGAAACGGUAGCUAAUACCGCAUACCAUCAGAUCUGCCCAGAUGGGAUUAGCUUGUUGGUGGGGUAACGGCUCACCAAGGCGACGCGCCCUAGCUGGUCUGAGAGGAUGACCAGCCACACUGGGACUGAGACACGGUCCAGACUCCUACGGGAGGCAGCAGUGGGGAAUAUUGCACAAUGGGCGAGAGCCUGAUGCAGCCAUGCCGCGUGUAUGAAGAAGGCCUUCGGGUUGUAAAGUACUUUCAGCUGGGAAGCGGUACCCGCAGAAGAAGCACCGGCUAACUCCGUGCCAGCAGCCGCGGUAAUUC